GAUGAACGCUAGCGGCAGGCCUAAUACAUGCAAGUCGUACGGCAACACAGUUGCGAGCAAUCGCAACCGGUGGCGAGUGGCGCACGGGUGAGUAACGCGUAUGUAACCUACCCUUCUCCGGGACAUAACUCCGCGAAAGCGGUGCUAAUAUCCCAUACCAACUCAUCAAGACAUCUUCUUGAGUUGAAAGCAGCAAUGCGGUGAAGGAUGGGCAUGCGUCCCAUUAGCUGGUUGGUGAGGUAAUGGCUUACCAAGGCGAUGACGGGUAGGGGACCUGAGAGGGUGGCCCCCCACAAUGGAACUGAAACACGGUCCAUACACCUACGGGUGGCAGCAGUAGGGAAUAUUAGUAAUGGGCGAAAGCCUGAACUAGCAACGCCGCGUGUGCGAAGAAGGCCUUCGGGUUGUAAAGACACUUUUGUAGAGGAGUGAGGAAGGACGGUAACGUCUCAGAAUAAGUCUCGGCUAACUACGUG
rnacentral:rRNA from 1 species